rnacentral:rRNA from 2 species
AUUGCACAAUGGGCGAAGCCUGAUGCAGCUAUACCGCGUGUAUGAAGAAGGCCUUAGGGUUGUAAAGUACUUUCGUUGGGGAGGAAAAAUAAAUAGAUAAUACCUGUUUAUCGUGACGUUACCCAAAAAAGAAGCACCGGCUAACUCCGUGCCAGCAGCCGCGGUAAUACGGAGGGUGCGAGCGUUAAUCAGAAUUACUGGGCGUAAAGAGCUCGUAGGCGGUUGUUUAAGUCAGAUGUGAAAUCCCUGGGCUUAACCUAGGAACUGCAUUUGAAACUAAAAGACUAGAGUAUCGUAGAGGGAGGUAGAAUUCUAGGUGUAGCGGUGAAAUGCGUAGAUAUCUGGAGGAAUACCUGUGGCGAAAGCGGCCUCCUAAACGAAUACUGACGCUGAGGUGCGAAAGCAUGGGGAGCAAACAGGAUUAGAUACCCUGGUAGUCCAUGCCGUAAACGAUGUCGACUUGGAGGUUGUUUCCUUGAGAAGUGACUUCCGAAGCUAACGCGUUAAGUCGACCGCCUGGGGAGUACGGUCGCAAGGCUAAAACUCAAAUGAAUUGACGGGGGCCCGCACAAGCGGUGGAGCAUGUGGUUUAAUUCGAUGCAACGCGAAAAACCUUACCUGGUCUUGACAUCCACAGAAUUUUUCAGAGAUGAAAAAGUGCCUUAGGGAACUGUGAGACAGGUGCUGCAUGGCUGUCGUCAGCUCGUGUUGUGAAAUGUUGGGUUAAGUCCCGCAACGAGCGCAACCCUUAUCCUCUGUUGCCAUUGGUUCGGCCAGGAACUCAGAGGAGACUGCCGGUUAUAAACCGGAGGAAGGCGGGGACGACGUCAAGUCAUCAUGGCCCUUACGACCAGGGCUACACACGUGCUACAAUGGUGUAUACAAAGAGAAGCAACUCUGCAAAGACAAGCAAACCUCAUAAAGUACAU